rnacentral:misc_RNA from 1 species
GAUGAAGAACGUAGCGAAAUGCGAUACUUGGUGUGAAUUGCAGAAUCCCGCGAAUCAUCGAGUUUUUGAACGCAAGUUGCGCCCGAAGCCAUUCGGCCGAGGGCACGUCUGCCUGGGUGUCACGCAUCGUUGCCCCCCCAAACUCCGGUUCGGGCGGGGCGGAAGUUGGCCUCCCGUGCGUGCCUGCGCGCGCGGUUAGCCCAAAAGCGAGUCCUCGGCGACGAGCGCCACGACAAUCGGUGGUUUUUUUACCCUCGUUCCUCGUCGUGCGUGUCCCGUCGCCCGAACGCGCUCUUGUGACCCUCACGCGUCGCCUCGGCGGCGCUCCCAACGCGACCCCAGGUCAGGCGGGACUACCCGCUGAGUUUAAGCAUAUCAAUAAGCGGACGA